rnacentral:lncRNA from 1 species
AAUCGCGUUCCCAUCGAAUGGAUUUUCUCUUAAACCUGAAAGUACAAAAUUCUUAAUAUCAAAGUUAGCAGUUAUGUCGGUACAAACCCUCUUGAAACCUGUCCUUCAUCGUUUCUUUUACAAUAAUCCCCUAUAGUUAGGGGUGGUACAACUGCCAUGAUGGUUUCUUCUUCAGAGUCAGAAGAAAUAAGUGGUUGAUCUUCAACUAAG